rnacentral:rRNA from 1 species
GACGAACGCUGGCGGCGUGCCUAAUACAUGCAAGUCGAACGAGAGCGACCGGUGCUUGCACUGGUCAAUCUAGUGGCGAACGGGUGAGUAACACGUGGGUAACCUGCCCAUCAGAGGGGGAUAACAUCCGGAAACGGAUGCUAAAACCGCAUAGGUCUUCGAACCGCAUGGUUCGAAGAGGAAAAGAGGCGCAAGCUUCUGCUGAUGGAUGGACCCGCGGUGCAUUAGCUAGUUGGUGAGGUAACGGCUCACCAAGGCCGUGAUGCAUAGCCGACCUGAGAGGGUGAUCGGCCACAUUGGGACUGAGACACGGCCCAAACUCCUACGGGAGGCAGCAGUAGGGAAUCUUCCGCAAUGGACGCAAGUCUGACGGAGCAACGCCGCGUGAGUGAAGAAGGUGUUCGGAUCGUAAAACUCUGUUGUUAGAGAAGAACAAGUGCUAGAGUAACUGUUAGCGCCUUGACGGUAGCUAACCAGAAAGCCACGGCUAACUACGUG